rnacentral:rRNA from 1 species
UGGGGAAUUUGGACAAUGGGGGCAACCUGAUCCAGCAAUGCCGCGUGUGUGAAGAAGGCCUUCGGGUUGUAAAGCACUUUUGUCCGGAAAGAAAACGCCGUGGUUAAUACCCGUGGCGGAUGACGGUACCGGAAGAAUAAGCACCGGCUAACUACGUGCCAGCAGCCGCGGUAAUACGUAGGGUGCAAGCGUUAAUCGGAAUUACUGGGCGUAAAGCGUGCGCAGGCGGUCCGCUAAGACAGAUGUGAAAUCCCCGGGCUUAACCUGGGAACUGCAUUUGUGACUGGCGGGCUAGAGUAUGGCAGAGGGGGGUAGAAUUCCACGUGUAGCAGUGAAAUGCGUAGAGAUGUGGAGGAAUACCGAUGGCGAAGGCAGCCCCCUGGGCCAAUACUGACGCUCAUGCACGAAAGCGUGGGGGAGCAAACAGGAUUCAGAUACCCUGGUAGUCCACGCCCUAAACGAUGUCAACUAGUUGUCGGGUCUUCAUUGACUUGGUAACGUAGCUAACGCGUGAAGUUGACCGCCUGGGGAGUACGGUCGCAAGAUUAAAAACUUAAAUGAAUUGACGGGGUC